UACGGAGGGUGCGAGCGUUAUCCGGAAUCACUGGGCGUAAAGGGCGCGUAGGCGGUUUGUUAAGUCUGAUGUUAAAGACCGAGGCUCAACCUCGGCGUGGCAUCGGGUACUGGCAGGCUUGACGGCUGGAGAGGCGAGUGGAAUUACCAGUGUAGCGGUGGAAUGCGUAGAUACUGGUAGGAACACCCAUGGCGAAGGCAGCUCGCUGGACAGCACGUGACGCUGAGGCGCGAAAGUGUGGGGAGCAAACCGG
rnacentral:misc_RNA from 1 species